rnacentral:tRNA from 1 species
GCCCGGGUGGCGGAAUUGGUAGACGCCCUAGGCUUAGGACCUAGGAUCCGUAAUGGAUGUGAGGGUUCGAGUCCCUCCCCGGGCA